rnacentral:rRNA from 1 species
GUGAAGCGGCAACAGCUCAAAUUUGAAAUCUGGCCCCAGGCCCGAGUUGUAAUUUGUAGAGGAUGCUUUUGGUGCGGUACUUUCCGAGUUCCCUGGAACGGGACGCCUUAGAGGGUGAGAGCCCCGUACGGUUGGAUACCUAGCCUCUGUAAAGCUCCUUCGACGAGUCGAGUAGUUUGGGAAUGCUGCUCAAAAUGGGAGGUAAAUUUCUUCUAAAGCUAAAUACCGGCCAGAGACCGAUAGCGCACAAGUAGAGUGAUCGAAAGAUGAAAAGCACUUUGAAAAGAGGGUUAAAUAGCACGUGAAAUUGUUGAAAGGGAAGGACUUAUGACCAGACUUUUUCUAGGCGGAUCAUCCGGUGUUCUCACCGGUGCACUUCGCCUAGUUAAGGCCAGCAUCGGUUUCCGUAGAGGGAUAAAAGCAGUAGGAAUGUGGCUCCCUCGGGAGUGUUAUAGCCUAUUGUAUAAUACCUUUAUGGGGACCGAGGUUCGCGCUUCGGCAAGGAUGCUGGCAUAAUGGUCAUCAGUCACCCGUCUUGAAACACGGACCAAGGAGUCGAACAUUUAUGCGAGUGUUUGGGUGUUAAACCCUCACGCGUAAUGAAAGUGAACGGAGGUGAGAGCCUUAGGGUGCAUCAUCGACCGAUCCUGAAGUCUUCGGAUGGAUUUGAGUAAGAGCAUAACUGUUCGGACCCGAAAGAUGGUGAACUAUGCGUGGAUAGGGUGAAGCCAGAGGA